rnacentral:rRNA from 1 species
GAUGAACGCUAGCGAUAGGCUUAACACAUGCAAGUCGAGGGGCAGCAUGGUCUUAGCUUGCUAAGACUGAUGGCGACCGGCGCACGGGUGCGUAACGCGUAUGCGACUUGCCUCACAGAGGGGGAUAACCCGUCGAAAGACGGACUAAUACCGCGUACACUCCAUCUUGGGCAUCCUAGGUAGAGGAAAUGAAAUUCGCUGUGAGAUAGGCAUGCGUCCCAUUAGCUAGUUGGUGAGGUAACGGCUCACCAAGGCGACGAUGGGUAGGGGAACUGAGAGGUUGAACCCCCACACUGGUACUGAGACACGGACCAGACUCCUACGGGAGGCAGCAGUGAGGAAUAUUGGUCAAUGGGCGAGAGCCUGAACCAGCCAAGUCGCGUGAAGGAUGACUGUCUUAUGGAUUGUAAACUUCUUUUAUACGGGAAUAACAAGAGUCACGUGUGACUCCCUGCAUGUACCGUAUGAAUAAGCAUCGGCUAACUCCGUG